rnacentral:lncRNA from 1 species
GUUCUCUUCAGCUCACGGGUGUCGAGUCCCCUAUUUCUUGCAUCUGAUGCCUUUCUCCUUCUUGUUUUUUAGAUCGUCCCCCGCAGCAGCUUCCUACGAAAGAUACACAAGAGCUUUCAGGAUGAUCUCGGACUUGCCUCCGUGAGCAAGAGUCAUGGCCAUAGCGGAGAGAGGGAGCAGCUGAAGGCUCGGCGCUGGGGUGAGCUCAACUUUUCCAUCUCACACCAGGCUGACAACCCUAGGAAGAAAGGGGCACUUUUCUUCCCUUAUUUGUUACCCAGAGGCAUUUAUAUUAAGUUUCUUUUAAAACUGUACUUCGGGGUUUUUUCAACGUCUCCACUAAAGUCUGUCACUGAAGCACAAAGUCCCGUGACAUCAGGGUAAAGACCAUCCCGAGCUCAGGUUCACGAGCCGCCAAGCCUCGUUUCUGCGGGAGCUAAACACAGUCGGGGCGCAGGAGCAGUGGGCCGGGAGCGCGGGAACGUGGGAUGAAGCAGUCAAUCCAUCAGCAAA